rnacentral:rRNA from 1 species
UACGGAGGGUGCAAGCGUUGUUCGGAAUCAUUGGGCGUAAAGGGCGCGUAGGCGGGACGUUAAGUCCGAUGUGAAAUCCCUCGGCUCAACUGAGGACGUGCAUCGGAUACUGGCGACCUUGAGUCCUGGAGAGGGUAGCGGAAUUCCCAGUGUAGAGGUGAAAUUCGUAGAUAUUGGGGAGGAACACCGGUGGCGAAGGCGGCUACCUGGACAGUGACUGACGCUGAGGCGCGAAAAGCAUGGGUAGCAAACAGG